ACGAACGCUGGCGGCGUGCUUAACACAUGCCAGUCGAACGGAAAGGCCCUGCUUGCAGGGUACUCGAGUGGCGAACGGGUGAGUAACACGUGGGUGAUCUGCCCUGCACUUCGGGAUAAGCCUGGGAAACUGGGUCUAAUACCGGAUAGGAGCCAUUUUUAGUGUGAUGGUUGGAAAGUUUUUUCGGUGUAGGAUGAGCUCGCGGCCUAUCAGCUUGUUGGUGGGGUAAUGGCCUACCAAGGCGGCGACGGGUAGCCGGCCUGAGAGGGUGGACGGCCACACUGGGACUGAGAUACGGCCCAGACUCCUACGGGAGGCAGCAGUGGGGAAUAUUGCACAAUGGGCGCAAGCCUGAUGCAGCGACGCCGCGUGGGGGAUGACGGCCUUCGGGUUGUAAACUCCUUUCGCUAGGGACGAAGCUUUUUGUGACGGUACCUAGAUAAGAAGCACCGGCUAACUACGUG
rnacentral:rRNA from 1 species